AUUGAACGCUGGCGGCAGGCCUAACACAUGCAAGUCGAGCGGCAGCGACAUAAACAAUCCUUCGGGUGCGUUUAUGGGCGGCGAGCGGCGGACGGGUGAGUAAUGCCUGGGAAUAUGCCCUGAUGUGGGGGAUAACCAUUGGAAACGAUGGCUAAUACCGCAUAAUCUCUUCGGAGCAAAGAGGGGGACCUUCGGGCCUCUCGCGUCAGGAUUAGCCCAGGUGAGAUUAGCUAGUUGGUGAGGUAAGAGCUCACCAAGGCGACGAUCUCUAGCUGGUCUGAGAGGAUGAUCAGCCACACUGGAACUGAGACACGGUCCAGACUCCUACGGGAGCAGCAGUGGGGAAUAUUGCACAAUGGGGAAACCCUGAUGCAGCCAUGCCGCGUGUGUGAAGAAGGCCUUCGGGUUGUAAAGCACUUUCAGUUGUGAGGAAGGCAUAUACGUUAAUAGCGUAUGUGUUUUGACGUUUA
rnacentral:rRNA from 1 species